UUGGUUUUUAGUUCUGUAUCGCAUCGCGGUGAGUUUCGAUUUCUUGGUAAUUCGGUUUGUGAAAUGACUAUUAAUUACAAGCACAGCAUCAUCAACGGUGAUUGCAAGAACUACUGCAAUCCCUGCGGUUUUUCCUCUUGGUAAAUGCGUUCUGGUCGUGACCAAGGGUGGUCUCCCAAAUCGGCUGGGAAUAAGGCUAUUGUUGCAGAACAAAACGCCGCAACCACUGCUGUGGUAAAUAUGUUCCAGCAGAGCUGCCCACCCCGUCGGUGUAAUGAUUUCGAUAGCUGAACAAACGCCAUCUCCUGGGCAUUCCCACAGCUUGCCGACACUAGCUAUUAUAUCACGUGUGAAUGCAACUGCGGC